ACUGAAUGGGGUUGUAUGAGGAUAAAGACCUGUUUGGGCCACAAGCUCAAUAUCUUACCAUGAAAAAAACAAAUCCGCUCUAGCCAGAUGAAAUACAUAACAAUUCUUCGUUCAAACCAGCACGUGGAGACGAAAGAGGUAUGUUGAGGCCAGUAACGAGAAAUAUUUCCCGUCGGCGCCAGAGAACCUCUUUCUGUGACAAUCGCAAGCUAUCACGGUGCCACACUUCGUUCACCAUCCGAAUAGCUAUGUUGAAACCUCAAAUUCACGUCCAACAUUCGACACGGUGGCUCCCGGUGAGAUGUUUCGAUCUCCUCCUUCGGUCGUAUUAUUGAGAUUUCUAAAUCUUCUGCUCUUCUCGAUCCACGUCUGAGAUUUCCUUUGUCAAUCUCUUGUUUGGGAUUUCGAAAGAUCCAGAUCGUGAAUUGUGAUGUUGUUGUGAGAUUUAUAACGAGUUGUUGUGGCUGGUGAUUGAGAGAUUGAAGUUGUUGAGAGAGAGUGAAAUAAGAAUUUUGCAGGUUAAACAAGUAGAUGGAAAUGAGAGCUUGAGCAAGAAUUACAGGGAGUGGAGGUGGUGAGAUAAGGUAAUGGUGAUGGUGGUUUGGGGACUUGUGGUGGUUCAAUGCCGAUGGCGGUGCCGCAGUGGUUAUGGAAGAUCGUGGCGGUUAGGGAAAGAAAUUGAUUGAAGAAGAUGAUGAAGGUUGGUUAAGUUAUGCAGGAUUGUUGCA